rnacentral:lncRNA from 1 species
AACAAUAUCCACCUCAAAGAUGGUCGGCAGAGUCCAGUGAUGUCAUAUAAAUAAAAUUUUAUCACAGUGCCAAGCAUAUGAUAAGCAUUUAACGAAUUAGCUGUUUUUAUUAAUAAAUCACAAGGCUCGUUGGAAAUCUUCUGAAACAUCCCUGGAAACCAACUCGCUGUUGCACACAGAUUUUAGAAGGAACUCUUCUAAAGGGAAGCACGUGGGUUGAAAUUUGGAGAGCUCAGAUUCCUAGAAACUAUGCUAAUAAGUAUUUCAGGUUAAAAGGAAUUCUUUUUAUUAAUAAAAACUUAGAAAAGAAUGAAGGGAUAUUUAUCCAUAUUGUGGAUGGCAAGAAGUAACUGGAGAAAAAGUAACUUGUCGAGCCCUGCCCGAGCCCCGAAUUUAAGGGCUCUUUGCAGCUCGAACCAAAGAAAUUGGGAUUUACGUUGUGGUUGGAUUUAAGGCAAGCAGAGCUCCAGGAUCACAGAUGGACUUGUUUUCACAGUUUAUGUAAAAGAUAUAAACCCAAAUUUAUAAAAUGGAGUAGAGGCUCCAGUUGCUAGGGAUAAUGCGAGACACGCCAAAUUAACCAAACUUAAUUCAGAUGGUCAUUAAACAAUGACCCCACCUGGUUUUCUGUCGUUUUACCAUCUGUUGUAGCUGUGUCUUCUCAGAUGGGAGCGUUCCCACUAGCUCCCAGGUGCGACCUGUUUAUGAAGACCGUGCCAAAUCAUCCUCCAUAGCAUUUGGUAACUAGGCAAUCUAUUAAGGUUAAUAAGGCAAGUUGUAACAUAAUCUCAACUAACCUAUGGAAAUGGACUGAAAUUUUUGAAAACUGAUAUCAAAGCAGAGGAAUAUAAAUGAGUUUUUAAUUCUUUAGACAGAUCAUCUGGUGAUCAAAAUUUUAAGGUCCAGAAAACUAACUUUUUUGUGGUCAAGUAAGACAUUAGAAGUUUUUUUGGUGACUGCUUAAAAUUAUAGAAUAAUUAUUAGAAUAACAAAUUAUUAAGCAAAAAGAUAUUCGAGCUGGAAGUGUUUUAUAGAACAAACUUUUCAGUUUCCAGCUGGGAUCAGUGUGGGUCUCAAAGGCUAUGGGUUGAGUUGGUGGGGGGAGUGGGUGGCUAAAUCUGCAGACCCGUCGCCCUCAGCCCCACCCCCAUCUACUGCUUCAGCCAGAACUCUUCAGCUUUUAUCUGUCUAUUUGUGGGGAUUAUGCCUACUAUUUCUUUUGGGGAAAGGGAGCUCUCUUAAAAAAAUUUUUUGACAAAUGGGGAAACUGAGGUAAAGAGAGAGUAAGCAACCUACCUAAGAUCAUGCAUCAUUCAAGCUACAUUCUUGGAAGGACAUCAGAUUAGAUUUAUCAUACUGGCUAUGCAUGCAAAGUAAAGUAGCCACAUAGAUCCUACUUUUACAGCAUCAUUUCAAAACUUCCCUAAAACACAGACACAAAAUACCAACGAUCAAAUGAAUCUACGAACAUGCCUUCUUGUAUUGGAUGGUGAUGCUUUCCUGAAACAGGGAGGACGCCUUGCCGAGGGUGAUGUUCCAGCUGAGAAAGCAAAAUCCCUGACACAUUUCUGCUUAGUGGCCAGUGACACAACAUGCCCUCCCCCUCCCAUGUCUUCAGGGGUGAGCUAGAACAUAUGGCACAGAUCCUUAGAGGUCAACAACAGAAUGCCAAACACAAUCCAUCACUUUGCCACAAACUGAUAUGGUCCACGAAGCACAGGCGUAAAGUGUUCAUAAUGGACAGCUAGAUAACAGUCUGCUUACUGCAUUCUUCGGUUACUAAAAAUGAGGCUACUUUGGACCUUUACAACAUAAAGUCAAACAGUAGCCAGACAGAGUACUGUCAGACAACCCCCAAGACCAGCCAGCCAGAAAGGGGGCUUCAAAAGGCUGCGUCCUAGGCCCGCUUCAAAAGAUCACAGGCUUACGGGGUUUAAUCGUAAAUUAUCCUGUUUUAAUAUUUAAUAUCUUCCAGACCUUGAGACUGACAUUCAUUGCCAGAGUGAAGGAGGACCAAAGAGAAAUAUAAGAAUGCAUAUUAUUCACAGAACAGAUCUUACAAGCAAUUUCAAAGCAUAAAUUCUACCGGCAGAAAUUUCCAGUGAAUAGAGAUUAAAUGCUUACAAGCACUAAAGCCAGAAAAAGAGGGAGGAGAUCAAAUCAUAGUCAAGAAUGCUCUGAUUUUCCUUUAUCCCUUGUUUCUUCUGUUUGCAAUCUCCUAAAUCUUACCGUUUCUUUCAUUCCAUCUCCAUGUGUGUUUCUUGCAUGCUGCUUCUAUAGCGACACCCUAUCUUUGCUCUUUUAGAUCUCCCACCUCAACUCUCACCUUUAUAAAACCUUGCAAGGUUGUUCUCCUCAUUAUUAUAAUCUCUUUAUGCUAUAUUGAAAGAACCAGCCUUGAAGCUUGGCAAUUACGCACCUUUUAAUCUAUUGGGGUUUAUAAGUGUAUACAAUACAGACUGGUCGAGGUCACAAAUCCUUAGUUUACAAAAUCAGCCAGUAUAUAGCUCCUGAAAAAAACAUUUAAAAGUUUCUUGGGGCAGAGGUGGAGGGAGUAUGAAGAAGAAGAUAAAACUCAGGUAAGGGUGCACAACCCUCUGUAACUAAAAAAAUACAACCAGCAAAAGUAGGAUUCAAUCAAACAUCUUCCUUGUUAAUCUAUAAGGAGAGACCACAAGAUUUACAGCUUCAUGUUCUAGUUCAUGAAUUACAUCUUUAAAUCUGUACAACUUAUUCAUUCAAUAAGAUCUGAUUUAAUAAAUAUUUACUGAGGGUCCACUCUGGGCAAGGAACUAACCACUUAGGGAUCCACCUGUGAACAAAACAAAUCUUACUCCAUUGAACUUAUACUUGGGGAGUAGAGUGGGCAGGAGAGUGGGAGCCAGAUAAUAGACAAUAUAAAUAAAUAAAAGAUGUUAUUAUUUAGAAAGUGAUUAGUGAUAUUAUUUUUUGAAACAGAGAGAACAAGUUUUGGGGCAUCAGUAAUGCCAGGAGGAGAGGUAUUGCAACUCACUGGCCUCAUCGAGAAGGGACUUGAAGGGAGUGAGCAAUGUGGUUAUCAGCAGAAAGAAUAUUCGGGGCAUGCAGUCUGUACCAAGGUCUUGAGGCAAAAGGAAGGCCAAAAUGGCUAGAGAGGAACGAGCGUGGGAGAGAGUAGUAAAAGAUGAGAUUGGGGUGGGGAUCUGAUAUUCUUUUUAAAUAACAGCUUUAUUGAGAUAUAAUUCACAUUCCGUACAAUUCACCCUACAUGUACCAUUAAACAGUUUUCCAUAUAUUCACAGAGUUGUGCAAUCAUCACCACUACCUCUAUUAGAACAUUUUUGUUAUAAUGAACAGAUUUUGUGGGGCCUUUUAAACUAUAUUAAGGACUUUGGCUUUUACUCUGAGUAAAAAGAGGAGCCAUUGGCAAGUUCGGGUCAGAGAAUUAAGCGUAAUUUGACUUGCUCUUUAUAGAAUCGCUGAGGCUGCUGGAGGUGCGUAGAGGGAGGGCGAAAGCAGACAGAGAGAAACUAGUUGUUGCAGUUAUCCAGGUGGGAGAUGAUGGCGGUGCUGGUGGCGCCUCUGAGAAAUGGUUGAAUUAUUUUACAUUUUGAAGUAAGCUGAUAGGAUUUGCUGAUGGACUGGAUGUGGGUUGUGAAGGAAAGAAGUCAAAGACGAUACCAUGGUUUGGAGACUGAGCAAGGGGAAGAAUGGAGUUGCCAUUGACUUACAGGAGGACAAUUAGGAGGCCAACUUUGUUUUUGUCAUUUUAAGUUUGAGAUGCUCAUUGUAUACUGAGACAGAGAUGAUGAGUAAGUCUGAGGUUCAGAAGAGAUGACUGACCAGAUUGCAAGCACAUUCAGGAGUCAUCAGCAUAUAAGUAUUUAAGGCCAUGAGACUGGAUGAGGUCACCAAGAGAGUGAGUGUGGAUCAAGAAGCAAAGAGAGUCUCUGAUGCCUCCAGUCUCUCU